rnacentral:rRNA from 1 species
AUCGAACGCUGGCGGCAGGCCUAACACAUGCAAGUCGAACGAGUGGCGGACGGGUGUGCAAUGUCUGGGAACCUGCCUGAUCUAGGGGGUUAACUACUGGAACCGGUAGCUAUUACCGCAAACCAUCGUAUUUGCCCAGAUGGGUUUAGCUAGUAGGUGGGGUAACGGCUCACCUAGGCGACGAUCCCUAGCUGGUCUGAGAGGAUGACCGGCCACACUGGAACUGGGACACGGUCCAGCGGCGUACGGGAGGCAGCAGUGGGGAAUAGUGCACAAUGGGGGCAAGCCUGAUGGAGCCAGGCCGCGUGUAUGAAGAAGGCCUUCGGGGUUUAAAGUUCUUUCAGCGAGGAGGCGUUACUCGCACAAGAAGCGCCGGCUAACUCCGUGCCAGCAGCCGCGGUAAUUC